GAUGAACGCUGGCGGCGUGCUUAACACAUGCAAGUCGAACGGUGAAGGCGGAGCUUGCUCUGCUGGAUCAGUGGCGAACGGGUGAGUAACACGUGAGCAAUCUGCCCCUGACUCUGGGAUAAGCGCUGGACACGGCGUCUAAUACUGGAUACGAGCUGCGAAGGCAUCUUCAGCAGCUGGAAAGAAUUUCGGUCAGGGAUGAGCUCGCGGCCUAUCAGCUUGUUGGUGAGGUAAUGGCUCACCAAGGCGUCGACGGGUAGCCGGCCUGAGAGGGUGACCGGCCACACUGGGACUGAGACACGGCCCAGACUCCUACGGGAGGCAACAGUGGGGAAUAUUGCACAAUGGGCGAAAGCCUGAUGCAGCAACGCCGCGUGAGGGACGACGGCCUUCGGGUUGUAAACCUCUUUUAGCAGGGAAGAAGCGAAAGUGACGGUACCUGCAGAAAAAGCGCCGGCUAACUACGUG
rnacentral:rRNA from 1 species